rnacentral:tRNA from 1 species
CCCGAAUGGUGGAAUGGUAGACACGCAAGACUUAAAAUCUUGUAACCAUAAAAGGUUGUAUGGGUUCAAGUCCCAUUUCGGGUACUA